CCUACGGGAGGCAGCAGUAGGGAAUAUUGCUCAAUGGGGGAAACCCUGAAGCAGCAACGCCGCGUGGAGGAUGAAGGUUUUCGGAUUUUAAACUCCUUUUGUUAGAGAAGAUAAUGACGGUAUCUAACGAAUAAUCAGCGUCUAACUACGUGCCAGCAGCCGCGGUAAUACGGAGGGUGCAACCGUUACUCGGAAUCACUGGGCGUAAAGAGCUCGUAGGCGGGAUAGCAAGUCAGAUGUGAAAUCCUAUGGCCUAAACAUAGAACUGCAUUUGAAACUGUUAGUCUAGAGUAUGGGAGAGGUAGGUGGAAUGCGUGGUGUAGCGGUAAAAUCCGGAGAGAUCGAGAGGAAUACUGAUUGCGAAGGCGGCCUGCUGGAACAUAACUGACGCUGAGGCGCGAAAGCGUGGGGAGCAAACAGGAUUAGAUACCCCAGUAGUC
rnacentral:rRNA from 1 species